rnacentral:tRNA from 4 species
GGAGAGGUGGGUGAGCGGCUGAAACCGACGGUUUGCUAAACCGUUGUACGGCGUAAAGCUGUACCGAGGGUUCGAAUCCCUCCCUCUCCG